rnacentral:rRNA from 1 species
GUCUACAGCCACACCACCCUGAACGCGCCCGAUCUCGUCUGAUCUCGGAAGCUAAGCAGGGUCGGGCCUGGUUAAUACUUGGAUGGGAGACCGCCUGGGAAUACCAGGUACUGUAGGCU